GCUCUUGUAGCUCAGUUGGUUAGAGCACCCGUUUAGUAAGUGGGAAGUCUUGAGUUCAACUCUCAACAAGAGCA
rfam:Ipomoea nil DNA, scaffold: scaffold1416, cultivar: Tokyo-kokei standard.